rfam:Felis catus isolate Cinnamon breed Abyssinian chromosome C1, whole genome shotgun sequence.
GCCUGGUUGGCUCAGUUGGUUUAGCAUCUGACUUUACCUCAGGUCACAAUCUCAUGGUUUAUGGGUUCAAGCCCCACAUCAGGCU